CAGCAGCCGCGGGAAAACGUAGGGGGCAAGCGUUAUCCGGAAUAACUGGGCGUAAAGGGUGCGCAGGUGGUUUAACAAGUUAGUGGUGAAAGGCAUAGGCUCAACCAAUGUAAGCCAUUAAAACUGUUUAACUUGAGUGCAGGAGAGGAAAGUGGAAUUCCUAGUGUAGCGGUGAAAUGCGUAGAUAUUAGGAGGAAUACCAGUGGCGAAGGCGACUUUCUGGACUGCAACUGACACUGAGGCACGAAAGCGUGGGGAGCAAACAGGAUUAGAGACCCCAGUAGUCCCUGUCUCUUAUACA
rnacentral:rRNA from 1 species